UAUCCGGAAUCAUUGGGCGUAAAGCGCCUGUAGGUUGUUUAAUAAGUCUGUUGUUAAAGACUAGGGCUUAACCCUAGGAAAGCAAUGGAAACUACUAGACUAGAGUAUGGCAGGGGUAGAGGGAAUUUCUAGUGUAGCGGUGAAAUGCGUAGAUAUUAGAAAGAACACCGGUGGCGAAAGCGCUCUACUGGACCAUUACUGACACUCAGAGGCGGAAGCUAGGGUAGCAAAAGGGAUUAGAUACCCCUGUAGUCUUAGCCGUAAACGAUGGAUACUAGAUGUUGUGCAUAAUGUACAGUAUCGUAGCUAACGCGUUAAGUAUCCCGCCUGGGGAGUACGCUCGCAAGGGUGAAACUCAAAGGAAUUGACGGGGGCCCGCACAAGCGGUGGAGCAUGUGGUUUAAUUCGAUGCAACGCGAAGAACCUUACCAGGGCUUGACAUACUACAAAUUCUUUAGAGAUAAGGAAGUGCCUUCGGGAAUGUAGAUACAGGUGGUGCAUGGCUGUCGUCAGCUCGUGUCGUGAGAUGUUGGGUUAAGUCCCGCAACGAGCGCAACCCUUAUUUUUAGUUACUAAUUCGUUAGGUUCUCUAGAAAGACUGCCGGUGACAAACCGGAGGAAGGUGAGGAUGUCGUCAAGUCAGCAUGCCCCUUAUGUCCUGGGCUACACACGUGCUACAAUGGUUAAGACAAAGGGUCGCGAGCUUGCAAGAGUCAGCUAAUCCCAUAAACUUAGCCUAAGUUCAGAUUGUAGGCUGCAAC
rnacentral:rRNA from 1 species